CUGUUGAUGGGUGGCAAUAAGAAUUAUUAGCAGGCAGAAUGAACAUCAGGGAUCCAGGAACUGUACUAAACCAUCUGUUUUUCAGAUAUCCAAUUAAUAGGAAUGGUCAUUAACAGAGCAGUUCUCAAAAAGAUACAGCAAGAGGGAGUUGGGGUAAUGGGACGUGGAGAUUUCACCGUAACUAAAUACAAGAAGGACAUCAUCCUUCUGAAGAUGGAAGUAUGAUCUACAUUCAGGAAAGAACUCAAGUACUCAAAGUUUAUAUUUAGUAUUAGAAGUGCUUUCUUAAGAUGGUGUGCUUUCAGGAAGACUAGUAGAAAAGGGAUAUUGGAAGUUCACAACCAGUGAUCGAGGAGGCUACUUUGCUGCUGCUGAGUUUACACAGUCUCUAGCUUUUUACCAUUGUAGCAACUCAAAGACAGCAAAUGUGAUCCAGCAAGGCAUAUAGCAAUGCAUUUAA
rnacentral:lncRNA from 1 species